rnacentral:lncRNA from 1 species
UUUUUCUUUCUUUUUUUCCUUUUUAGAAAGCGCACCGGGGGACGCCCCAAUCGCGCAGGCUCUGGGACUCGUGAGAGACGUUCCACGAGUCAGCCUUUGUUGGGUCCUGGCUCUGGGACGCGUGAGAAACGUUCCACGAGCCGAAUUUUGUCGGGAGGACCCGGCAACGGGCAGUCAAAAAGAUCUGACUGUGACUUUGGAGGUCAUGUUCGGCUGCCUAUUUAAGUAUAGGCACGGACAAGUGUGCUUAGAUGUGUUAGUGUCUGUUGUCUGUAUUCUGUUUCUGUGUUUGGUAUCCCGGAAGCAGCUAAGGUUAAGCUGCAGUUUGGGCCAGGUACUGAAGGUACCAGGCAUCUGUGGAAAUUGGUUAUAGGAUGCUUUGUCUUGGUCUUGUUUGUCUGGAUUGUUUUCUGUGGUAUUGUCCAGUGUUUUUUUUGACUUUUGUUUCGUGUUUGAAUUUGGACUGACGACCGUGUUUAAAAUCUUGGACUGACGACUGUGUUUGAAAUCAUGAAACUGUUUGCUUUGUUCGUCGAAGAGUUUUACUUGGUCCCCUUAACGCUUAGUGAGUAAGAAACUUAAUUUUGUAGACCCCGCUCUAGUGGCAGUGUGUUG